rnacentral:rRNA from 1 species
UACGUAGGUGGCAAGCGUUAUCCGGAAUUACUGGGUGUAAAGGGCGCGCAGGCGGCCCUGCAAGUCGGAUGUGAAAGAUCAAGGCUCAACCUUGACAGGCCAUUCGAAACUGUGGGACUUGAGUGUCAGAGGGGAAAGUGUAAUUCCUAGUGGAGCGGUAAAAUGCGCAGAUAUUAGGAGGAACACCGGUGGCGAAGGCGACUUUCUGGCUGACAACUGACGCUGAGGCGCGAAAGCGUGGGGAGGCAAACAGGAUUAGAUACCCU